rnacentral:rRNA from 1 species
AUUGAACGCUGGCGGCAUGCCUUACACAUGCAAGUCGAACGGCAGCACGGGAGCAAUCCUGGUGGCGAGUGGCGAACGGGUGAGUAAUAUAUCGGAACGUGCCCGGUCGUGGGGGAUAACGUAGCGAAAGCUACGCUAAUACCGCAUACGAUCUACGGAUGAAAGCGGGGGGAUCGCAAGACCUCGCGCGAUUGGAGCGGCCGAUAUCAGAUUAGGUAGUUGGUGAGGUAAAGGCUCACCAAGCCGACGAUCUGUAGCUGGUCUGAGAGGACGACCAGCCACACUGGGACUGAGACACGGCCCAGACUCCUACGGGAGGCAGCAGUGGGGAAUUUUGGACAAUGGGCGCAAGCCUGAUCCAGCAAUGCCGCGUGCAGGAUGAAGGCCUUCGGGUUGUAAACUGCUUUUGUACGGAACGAAACGGUGAGCUCUAAUACAGUUUGCUAAUGACGGUACCGUAAGAAUAAGCACCGGCUAACUACGUG